UGGGAUAACUCCGGGAAACCGGGGCUAAUACCGGAUGCUUGUUUGAACCGCAUGGUUCAAACAUAAAAGGUGGCUUCGGCUACCACUUACAGAUGGACCCGCGGCGCAUUAGCUAGUUGGUGAGGUAAUGGCUCACCAAGGCGACGAUGCGUAGCCGACCUGAGAGGGUGAUCGGCCACACUGGGACUGAGACACGGCCCAGACUCCUACGGGAGGCAGCAGUAGGGAAUCUUCCGCAAUGGACGAAAGUCUGACGGAGCAACGCCGCGUGAGUGAUGAAGGUUUUCGGAUCGUAAAGCUCUGUUGUUAGGGAAGAACAAGUACCGUUCGAAUAGGGCGGUACCUUGACGGUACCUAACCAGAAAGCCACGGCUAACUACGUGCCAGCAGCCGCGGUAAUACGUAGGUGGCAAGCGUUGUCCGGAAUUAUUGGGCGUAAAGGGCUCGCAGGCGGUUUCUUAAGUCUGAUGUGAAAGCCCCCGGCUCAACCGGGGAGGGUCAUUGGAAACUGGGGAACUUGAGUGCAGAAGAGGAGAGUGGAAUUCCACGUGUAGCGGUGAAAUGCGUAGAGAUGUGGAGGAACACCAGUGGCGAAGGCGACUCUCUGGUCUGUAACUGACGCUGAGGAGCGAAAGCGUGGGGAGCGAACAGGAUUAGAUACCCUGGUAGUCCACGCCGUAAACGAUGAGUGCUAAGUGUUAGGGGGUUUCCGCCCCUUAGUGCUGCAGCUAACGCAUUAAGCACUCCGCCUGGGGAGUACGGUCGCAAGACUGAAACUCAAAGGAAUUGACGGGGGCCCGCACAAGCGGUGGAGCAUGUGGUUUAAUUCGAAGCAACGCGAAGAACCUUACCAGGUCUUGACAUCCUCUGACAAUCCUAGAGAUAGGACGUCCCCUUCGGGGGCAGAGUGACAGGUGGUGCAUGGUUGUCGUCACCUCCUGUCCUGAGAUGUUGGGUUAAAUCCGCCACCAACGCCACCCUUGAUCUUAUUUGCCACCAUUCAAUUGGGCACUCUAAGGGGACUGCCGGGGACAAACC
rnacentral:rRNA from 1 species